ACACUCCUACGGGAGGCAGCAGUGGGAAAUAUUGGACAAUGGGCGCAAGCCUGAUCCAGCCAUGCCGCGUGAGUGAUGAAGGCCCUAGGGUUGUAAAGCUCUUUCACCGGUGAAGAUAAUGACGGUAACCGGAGAAGAAGCCCCGGCUAACUUCGUGCCAGCAGCCGCGGUAAUACGAAGGGGGCUAGCGUUGUUCGGAUUUACUGGGCGUAAAGCGCACGUAGGCGGACUAUUAAGUCAGGGGUGAAAUCCCGGGGCUCAACCCCGGAACUGCCUUUGAUACUGGUAGUCUUGAGUUCGAGAGAGGUGAGUGGAAUUCCGAGUGUAGAGGUGAAAUUCGUAGAUAUUCGGAGGAACACCAGUGGCGAAGGCGGCUCACUGGCUCGAUACUGACGCUGAGGUGCGAAAGCGUGGGGAGCAAACAGGAUUAGAAACCCGGGUAGUCCCAUGAU
rnacentral:rRNA from 1 species